rnacentral:rRNA from 1 species
AUUGAACGCUGGCGGCAGGCUUAACACAUGCAAGUCGAGCGAGCGGCGGACGGGUGAGUAAUGUCUGGGAAACUGCCUGAUGGCGGGGGAUAACUACUGGAAACGGUAGCUAAUACCGCAUACCAUCAGAUGUGCCCAGAUGGGAUUAGCUAGUAGGUGGGGUAAUGGCUCACCUAGGCGAUGAUCCUUAGCUGGUUUGAGAGGAUGACCAGCCACACUGGAACUGAGACACGGUCCAGACUCCUACGGGAGGCAGCAGUGGGGAAGAUUGGACAAUGGGGGAAAGCCUGAUGCAGCCAUGCCGCGUGUGGGAAGAAGGCCUUCGGGUUGUAAAGUACUUUCAGCGAGGAGGCGUUACUCACAGAAGAAGCACCGGCUAACUCCGUGCCAGCAGCCGCGGUAAUUC